AAAAAAUGGUCAUUUCGGCCUUUGGAGAUGCCUUCCACUGUGCUGAUUCUUCUCCCCAUUGGAGGAGUGGCCAACCCUUCUGCAACUUUCUCCAGGUAAUUUCGCUUUCUUCUUCGUAUACCCAUUUCUGAUUCUAUCACUCCUAUCGGCGUCUAUUCUUGUUUUUCCUCGAAUUUCUUUGUUAUAUUGGGCUCUUUGUCUUAGCUUCGUAUGUUAUCGGAGUCUGUGCUCCACAUAAUUUAGUUUGAUGGUUUGUUGCAAGCUACACGGGGAUCCAUUUUUGUGUGUGUGUGUGUGUGUUAUGAAUUGGUAUUUAGUUAUGUGUCACCUUAUUUGGCACCUUGGAUUUCAAAAUGAAAUCAACAAGGAUCGUCUCAAAAGGAGCAUGAUUAGGGGAGAUGGCUCUGAGUUAACCAGCUAACUGAAAACAGCCCAUUUUGGUGGAGACCUCAAACUGUAAUUGAUAAAGGGAGAGAUUGGGAAUGUUAAAACUCUAGUUUUUGAAGUUUCUUGUAAAAAAUAGUUAUAAGCCAAGAGCUCUAGAAAGGAACUGAAACAAUAGUCAAUAAAUUUGUUUAAUUCAUUCUCCAUCUUGAUUCUUGGGUAUUCUUCUAAAUCCUGAACCACUAUUUCAUCCUUGCUAAUUGCUCUGCAUCAUUCUUGAUGGUAACAAACUGUCUACUUCGUUGAUAUAUUAGAGAAAUCUCCCCUGCCCACCACUCGGAUUUGAAUAGAGUCAUCUUUCAGCAUACUUUGUUAUUACAAUGAAGUUCGAUUGUGGUUAUCUGGCUGGUUCUUUGGAUUCUAAGUGUAUUGACAGUUGAUAGUAUCGUUGUUUAGUUUCUUGUUUAUUCUAUGCAAGUUGUUUGAUGUUAUGAAUUUUAUUUAAUUUGGAGAAUCUGUGAUCGAAUGCUUAAUCUUACUUUUGGAUCCUUUUUCAUCAAGCUGCAAUGUAUUCCUCAUUGCCUUCAUGUAAUCGAAUAUAGCUGGACAGUAUGGUAUUACUAACCCGUUCAUUAUAUUUAACUUGAAUGGUGUUGUUCUUGUUCUUCCAAUGAAAGUCAUUUUCAAGAUGUUUAUGUGCUUUUGUUCGGGAACAAACAUGUAUCGUGUCAAUUGUUUAUGUAACAGCCUAAGCCCACCGCAAGCAGAUAUUCUUCUCUUUGAGCUUUCCCUUUUGGGCUUCCCCUCAAGGCUUUGAAACACGUUUGCUUGGGAGAGGUUUCUACACCCUUAUAAAAACAUGUUUCGUCCUCCCCCCCCUCGAUACCCAGUGUCUUUGCUGGGAUUUGUUCUCUUCUCCAAUCGAUGUGGGAUCCCCCAAUCCACCCCCCUUUGGGGACCAGUGUCUUUGUUGGCAC